rnacentral:rRNA from 1 species
GGGGAAUAUUGCACAAUGGGCGCAAGCCUGAUGCAGCCAUGCCGCGUGUAUGAAGAAGGCCUUCGGGUUGUAAAGUACUUUCAGCGAGGAGGAAGGCAUUGUGGUUAAUAACCACAGUGAUUGACGUUACUCGCAGAAGAAGCACCGGCUAACUCCGUGCCAGCAGCCGCGGUAAUACGGAGGGUGCAAGCGUUAAUCGGAAUUACUGGGCGUAAAGCGCACGCAGGCGGUCUGUCAAGUCGGAUGUGAAAUCCCCGGGCUCAACCUGGGAACUGCAUUCGAAACUGGCAGGCUAGAGUCUUGUAGAGGGGGGUAGAAUUCCAGGUGUAGCGGUGAAAUGCGUAGAGAUCUGGAGGAAUACCGGUGGCGAAGGCGGCCCCCUGGACAAAGACUGACGCUCAGGUGCGAAAGCGUGGGGAGCAAAC